rnacentral:rRNA from 1 species
CUACGCACUCCUGGGAGGCAGCAGUGGGGAAUAUUGCACAAUGGGCGCAAGCCUGAUGCAGCCAUGCCGCGUGUAUGAAGAAGGCCUUCGGGUUGUAAAGUACUUUCAGCAGUGAGGAAGGUGGGUAUGUUAAUAGCAUACUCAUUUGACGUUAGCUGCAGAAGAAGCACCGGCUAAACUCCGUGCCAGCAGCCGCGGUAAUACGGAGGGUGCGAGCGUUAAUCGGAAUUACUGGGCGUAAAGCGCAUGCAGGUGGUUUGUUAAGUCAGAUGUGAAAGCCCGGGGCUCAACCUCGGAAUUGCAUUUGAAACUGGCAAACUAGAGUACUGUAGAGGGGGUAGAAUUUCAGGUGUAGCGGUGAAAUGCGUAGAGAUCUGAAGGAAUACCGGUGGCGAAGGCGGCCCCCUGGACAGAUACUGACACUCAGAUGCGAAAGCGUGGGGAGCAAACAGGAUUAGAUACCCUGGUAG